rnacentral:rRNA from 1 species
AGAGAGAGCUUGCUUUCUCGAGCGAGUGGCGAACGGGUGAGUAACGCGUGAGGAACCUGCCUCAAAGAGGGGGACAACAGUUGGAAACGACUGCUAAUACCGCAUAAGCCCACAGGUCGGCAUCGACCAGGGGGAAAAGGAGCAAUCCGCUUUGAGAUGGCCUCGCGUCCGAUUAGCUAGUUGGUGAGGUAAUGGCCCACCAAGGCAACGAUCGGUAGCCGGACUGAGAGGUUGAACGGCCACAUUGGGACUGAGACACGGCCCAGACUCCUACGGGAGGCAGCAGUGGGGAAUAUUGCACAAUGGGGGAAACCCUGAUGCAGCGACGCCGCGUGGAGGAAGAAGGUCUUCGGAUUGUAAACUCCUGUUGUUGAGGAAGAUAAUGACGGUACUCAACAAGGAAGUGACGGCUAACUACGUGCCAGCAGCCGCGGUAAAACGUAGGUCACAAGCGUUGUCCGGAAUUACUGGGUGUAAAGGGAGCGCAGGCGGGAAGACAAGUUGGAAGUGAAAUCUAUGGGCUCAACCCAUAAACUGCUUUCAAAACUGUUUUUCUUGAGUAGUGCAGAGGUAGGCGGAAUUCCCGGUGUAGCGGUGGAAUGCGUAGAUAUCGGGAGGAACACCAGUGGCGAAGGCGGCCUACUGGGCACCAACU